rnacentral:rRNA from 2 species
UGACGUCGACCGAAGCUGCUUGCAGUGGACGUUGAUUGACGUGAGUGGCGGACGGGUGAGUAACACGUGGGUAACCUACCCUUAAGUGGGGGAUAACAUUUGGAAACAGAUGCUAAUACCGCAUAACCAUUCAGACCACAUGGUCUGAAUGUAAAAGACGGCCUUUGGCUGUCACUUUUGGACGGACCCGCGGCGUAUUAGUUAGUUGGUAAGGUAACGGCUUACCAAGACAAUGAUACGUAGCCGACCUGAGAGGGUAAUCGGCCACAUUGGGACUGAGACACGGCCCAAACUCCUACGGGAGGCAGCAGUAGGGAAUCUUCCACAAUGGACGAAAGUCUGAUGGAGCAACGCCGCGUGAGUGAAGAAGGUUUUAGGAUCGUAAAACUCUGUUGUUGGAGAAGAACAGGGACUAGAGUAACUGUUAGUCCUUUGACGGUAUCCAACCAGAAAGCCACGGCUAACUACGUGCCAGCAGCCGCGGUAAUACGUAGGUGGCAAGCGUUGUCCGGAUUUAUUGGGCGUAAAGCGAGCGCAGGCGGUUUUUUAAGUCUGAUGUGAAAGCCUUCGGCUUAACCGAAGAAGUGCAUUAGAAACUGGGAAACUUGAGUGCAGAAGAGGACAGUGGAACUCCAUGUGUAGCGGUGAAAUGCGUAGAUAUAUGGAAGAACACCAGUGGCGAAGGCGGCUGUCUGGUCUGUAACUGACGCUGAGGCUCGAAAGUAUGGGGAGCGAACAGGAUUAGAUACCCUGGUAGUCCAUACCGUAAACGAUGAAUGCUAAGUGUUGGAGGGUUUCCGCCCUUCAGUGCUGCAGCUAACGCAUUAAGCAUUCCGCCUGGGGAGUACGACCGCAAGGUUGAAACUCAAAGGAAUUGACGGGGGGCCCGCACAAGCGGUGGAGCAUGUGGUUUAAUUCGAAGCAACGCGAAGAACCUUACCAGGUCUUGACAUCCUUUGACCACUGUAGAGAUACAGCUUUCCCUUCGGGGACAAAGUGACAGGUGGUGCAUGGUUGUCGUCAGCUCGUGUCGUGAGAUGUUGGGUUAAGUCCCGCAACGAGCGCAACCCUUAUGACUAGUUGCCAGCAUUUAGUUGGGCACUCUAGUAAGACUGCCGGUGACAAACCGGAGGAAGGUGGGGAUGACGUCAAAUCAGCAUGCCCCUUAUGACCUGGGCUACACACGUGCUACAAUGGUCGGUACAACGAGUUGCGAACCCGCGAGGGUAAGCUAAUCUCUUAAAGCCGAUCUCAGUUCGGAUUGUAGGCUGCAACUCGCCUACAUGAAGCCGGAAUCGCUAGUAAUCGCGGAUCAGCACGCCGCGGUGAAUACGUUCCCGGGCCUUGUACACACCGCCCGUCACACCAUGAGAGUUUGUAACACCCGAAGUCGGUGG